rnacentral:rRNA from 1 species
GACGUAGGGCGCGAGCGUUGUCCGGAUUUAUUGGGCGUAAAGAGCUCGUAGGCGGCUUGUCGCGUCGUCCGUGAAAACCUGGGGCUCAACUCCAGGCUUGCGUCGAUACGGGCAGGCUCGAGUUCGGUAGGGGAGACUGGAAUUCCUGGUGUAGCGGUGAAAUGCGCAGAUAUCAGGAGGAACACCGGUGGCGAAGGCGGGUCUCUGGGCCGAUACUGACGCUGAGGAGCGAAAGCGUGGGGAGCGAACAGG